CUGCAAAAGACAAGGAAAAGAAUAAAGAGAAAAAAUUCAAAGAGUUUGUGAGAGUGAAACCAAAGAAGAAGAAGAAAAAGAAAAAGAAAACCAAACCUGGUGAUUUUCCCUUGAGGUUCCCUUGAGUUUCCUUGUCCUAGGUGGGGAGAGGUGGCUUCUUCCCUUGUGGUCUCUGAGCUGCACGGAGGAGAGUAAGGACCAGCAGGCCUCUCUCAGGGCUUGUGUGUGCAGCCUGGCCUGGGUCCUGGCAGAGCUUUGAAGUGAGAUACUCCCCCAGGUCUUACAGGGCCCAACUGGCAUUUAUAAAAGCUCUCCCACUUGCUGCAUUGGCCAGUGUGCCCUGUCACAGAUCUGGUUUGUAUGAAGGCAUCAGAGUCCAAGAGGAUGUGCUGAUGAGUGACAAUUUUUGUUCAUACACAUGACUUUUUUUUUUUUUUGGUACCAGGGAUUGAACUCAGGACCUCAUGCUUGAGAGGCAGGCGAAGUGCCACUGAGCUAAACCCUGGCCCCUUCACACAUGUGACUUUUAAACAUACAUCUCUCAAGAAAAGAUUUACUUUGUGAAAAGUGUUUGUCUACCUACACAAUAAUAUUAAUGAAAAUCUGUGUGUCAUCCUUGGCAGUUAAAGAGAUGCCAGGUUUUAUUCUCAGUGUAGCUUCUGGCUUAGAAAAACAGUCUAAUCAGGAAAGAGCAAGAGGGUGACAGUAAAGAAGAAAAAUUUGGGGGCUGGGGAUUUAGCUCAGUGGUUCCACCGCCUGCCUUGCAAGGUAAGGACCCGGUACCAAAAAAAAAAAAAAAAAGAAGAAAAAUUUGGGCUUAGGAUUCUCAGGGGUGGCAGAAAAUAUGAAUCCUUAAAUCUGCCGUCCAUGCCUUUCUGUGGUUGAACUGUCCCCACGCCUUUGAGCUCUUUGAAAAACAGACUUGUUGGUUGGAUGAGGUUGAUUCUGGAAUGUCCUGAUGAUCUCUUCCAUUCUUUCAGAAUGCCCCUGCAGUGAGGAGAUCAGUGACACUUCCCAGGAACCAUCGCCACCCAAGGCAUUUGGUGUGACAAGGUGUGGGUCCUCACACAAGCCUGUAGUCCAUAUGAGCCCACAGCUCCAUGGCACAGAAACUGGCAACCACAAAGGGAAAUUGAAAGCAUCUGAGGAGGAUAAUUUGAGUGAGUCCUCUUCUGAGAGUUUUCUUUGGAGUGAUGAGGAGUAUGGUCAAGAUGUUGAUGUGACUACCAACCCAGAUGAGGAACUUGAUGGGGAUGACCGCUAUGAUUUUGAGGUGGUCCGUUGCAUCUGUGAAGUCCAGGAGGAAAAUGAUUUCAUGAUUCAGGUAAGUAGACCUUCCAGAACAUAGGUCUAUAGAAGAAAAAAUAAAAUACACUGGUCCUUGGAGAGAAGUUGAGGCCAGCAGUAGUGGUGAGUCACAUCCAAAGCCCCAGAUAUUUGGUACUAAUAGUAGCAGACCAAGUUUGCUUCUGGUUUGAUUUUCUGGGAAUUUCAGGCUGCUGUAAAUAGACCAUCAAUAGAAUCAAAGAGGCUUUGAGAAAUCAUUGAUUACAAACCUCUCGUCCUCUGCUUAAAUCAUUUGAAGCCUGCUCUGGGUUAAGGACCUUACCAUUGGUCGCACAGUGAGGAGUUGGAUAGCAGGGACUCAAACUUUGGGGUGGCAGUUUAACCUUAUGUAUCAUCUUCUCCUUGAGGUAAAUUUUCUUUGUGGCCUGAAGAAAUGGAGACUGGUUUUAUAACUUCUUUUUUGUUUUGUUUUGUUUUAUAACUUCUUUGUUUCUUAUUGUUUUCCUGACAUGUCUGUCAUCUUCCUCCUUGGGAUGUGCCUGUGGGGUGGGACCUCCCUACCUACUUGAGGAAUCCAUCACUGGCCCCUUCUGUUUGUCACUUGCAGUUCUGGUGGAGGUGGCUGCUGUCUGGCUGACUCUGAGGACUGUCAUAAAUAUCCUAGGUAUCUUGGUAGCUGCCUAGCUGGCCAGGAAACCUGAGUUUUUUGAAAGUAAGUCAUGCUUAUAUUAGUUAGCAUUCUUUUAGGAGCAAGUACAGACAUUAUAGACAGGGUCUAGGAAUGCAAAGGCUUGCUCACAUUGUUUCCUGUUUCUUUCCAGAGUCAAUUUGGUUGUUUUCCUUUUUCCUACUUCUUCUCUUUAUUUAUUUUGUAUGUUACUACUUACUUAUUGUCUUAGAAAAUAUAAAAUGGUCACAUACCUGUGUCCCCUUCUCAUUUUCUCUUUUACCUUUUUGUGUUCAAGAGAUUAGGUAGGUUGAGGUUGGAAUCUCAGUUCCAAUUCUGAAUUCCCAGGCAAGGAAUUCCAGCCUGGCUCAGGUGAAUAAUAGCUGUUAGGGAGGUAGAGAGGUUUAUAUCCUUGAUCUACUCAUCUGGUCUGGAGUUGGGUGGAGAUUGAGGGGUGUGGGGAGCUUCAUUAGAAAGGCUGCCUGGACCCUACACCUCUGUUAUUGUGUGACCAGUAGGGUUAGCUGUUCCUGGUGGAGAAGGCUCCUGUCCAUCUCCUAGUAAGAGUUUACCUGGUCUGUGGAAAUUAUGAGAAGAAGGCCUAGCCCUCCUUGGCUUACUUUCUCUGUUAGGGUAUUAUUUCCUUACCCUAAUAGUAUUGGGGUUUUUUUAGGUUUCUUUGGUACCGGGGAUCGAACUCGGGACCUUGUGCUUGCGAGGCAGGCACCAGAACCACUGAGCUAAAUCCCCGGCCCCUUACCCUAAUAGUAUUAUAGGUCAGUGUGGCAUCAGUUUUUGAAACUCACUUUUGGAUUUUGGUUUAAUAUAUUGUUGAAUUUAUGUCUCUGCCUUUUUUUUUUUUUUUUGCUUAAAUUCUUUUAUUGGUACAUUUUAGGUAUAUAAUACGUUUACAUUUAUCAUUGGGUGCUUGUACCUGUACAUGAUGUAUCUUGGUUCUUAUUUUUUCCCCAUUCCCUGUGCGCCCUUCACCCCUCCACCCUUCCCUAUUUACAUAGACUUCGUUUCCAUUUUUUUUCUUUUCUCAUAAUGUUUCCUUUCCAUUCUUUCCUUUCCCUAUCUCCUCCCACCACCCCUACCCCUUUCGACCUUUUCCUAUUUCAAAGUAGCAAUUAAUGACUCUGAUUUUGAAUUUGUCUUUUCAUAAAUAACAUUCUCCUUUCCUUUGAUUUCUUGACAUACUAGUCUUUCCCAUAAUUCUUUAAACUUUCAGAAAGAGCAGGCUGGGCAUGGUGGUGCAUGCCUGUAACCCCAGCACUUGAGAGGCUGAGGUAGGAGGAUUACUGCAAGUUUGAGGCCAGCCUGAAAUACAUAGUGAGACUUUUUCUCAAGAAACAAAACAGAGAGUGAGGAGUAGGCCCACUUACUUUUUCACUUCUUAUUUAUCAAGUGCUUUUUUAAAAUUUCUGUUU
rnacentral:lncRNA from 1 species